CAUCGGGGGGUAGAGCACUGUUUAGGCUAGGGGGUCAUGGCGACUUACCAAACCUAUGCAAACUCCGAAUACCGAUGAGUACAGCUUGGGAGACAGAGCACCGGGUGCUAACGUCCGGACUCAAGAGGGAAACAACCCAGACCGCCAGCUAAGGUCCCUAAAAUUGGCUAAGUGGGAAACGAAGUGGGAAGGCUAAAACAGUCAGGAUGUUGGCUUAGAAGCAGCCAUCAUUUAAAGAAAGCGUAAUAGCUCACUGAUCGAGUCGUCCUGCGCGGAAGAUGUAACGGGGCUAAGCCAGUUACCGAAGCUGCGGAUUCACAGUUUACUGUGAGUGGUAGGAGAGCGUUCUGUAAGCCUGAGAAGGUGUCUUGAGAAGGAUGCUGGAGGUAUCAGAAGUGCGAAUGCUGACAUGAGUAGCGUUAAAGGGGGUGAAAAGCCCCCUCGCCGAAAGCGCAAGGUUUCCUACGCAACGUUCAUCGGCGUA
rnacentral:rRNA from 1 species